GAUGAACGCUGGCGGCGUGCUUAACACAUGCAAGUCGAACGGUGAACGAGGGAGCUUGUUCCCUCCGGAUCAGUGGCGAACGGGUGAGUAACACGUGAGCAAUCUGCCCUGGACUCUGGGAUAAGCGUUGGAAACGACGUCUAAUACCGGAUACGAGGCGUGGGGGCAUCCCCAGCGCCUGGAAAGAACUUCGGUCCAGGAUGAGCUCGCGGCCUAUCAGCUAGUUGGUGAGGUAACGGCUCACCAAGGCGACGACGGGUAGCCGGCCUGAGGGGGUGACCGGCCACACUGGGACUGAGACACGGCCCAGACUCCUACGGGAGGCAGCAGUGGGGAAUAUUGCACAAUGGGCGCAAGCCUGAUGCAGCAACGCCGCGUGAGGGACGACGGCCUUCGGGUUGUAAACCUCUUUUAGCAGGGAAGAAGCGAAAGUGACGGUACCUGCAGAAAAAGCACCGGCUAACUACGUGCCAGCAGCCGCCGUAAGAC
rnacentral:rRNA from 1 species